rnacentral:rRNA from 1 species
UAGAGUUUGAUCAUGGCUCAGAUUGAACGCUGGCGGCAGGCCUAACACAUGCAAGUCGGACGGCAGCGGGAGGAAGCUUGCUUCCUUGCCGGCGAGUGGCGGACGGGUGAGUAAUAUCUGGGGAUCUGCCUGAUGGAGGGGGAUAACCACUGGAAACGGUGGCUAAUACCGCAUGAAGUCGCGAGACCAAAGCGGGGGACCUUCGGGCCCCGCGCCAUCAGAUGAACCCAGACGGGAUUAGCUGGAAGGUGGGGUAACGGCUCACCUUGGCGACGAUCCCUAGCUGGUCUGAGAGGAUGAUCAGCCACACUGGGACUGAGACACGGCCCAGACUCCUGCGGGAGGCAGCAGUGGGGAAUAUUGCACAAUGGGGGAAACCCUGAUGCAGCCAUGCCGCGUGUAUGAAGAAGGCCUUCGGGUUGUAAAGUACUUUCAGCAGGGAGGAAGGGGUGAGGAGUAACAUGCCUUGCCAUUGACGUUACCUGCAGAAGAAGCACCGGCUAACUCCGUGCCAGCAGCCGCGGUAAUACGGAGGGUGCGAGCGUUAAUCGGAAUUACUGGGCGUAAAGGGCACGCAGGCGGUUAAUUAAGCCGGAUGUGAAAUCCCCGGGCUCAACCCGGGAACUGCAUUCGGAACUGGUUGACUGGAGUUCUGUAGAGGGGGGUGGAAUUCCACGUGUAGCGGUGAAAUGCGUAGAGAUGUGGAGGAACACCAGUGGCGAAGGCGGCCCCCUGGACAGAGACUGACGCUCAAGUGCGAAAGCGUGGGGGAGCAAACAGGAUUAGAUACCCCUGGUAGUCCACGCUGUAAACGAUGUCGAUUUAAAGGCUGUGGUCAUGAACUGUGGCUUUUGGAGCAAACGCGUUAAAUCGACCGCCUGGGGAGUACGGCCGCAAGGUUAAAACUCAAAUGAAUUGACGGGGGCCCGCACAAGCGGUGGAGCAUGUGGUUUAAUUCGAUGCAACGCGAAGAACCCUCACCUGGUCUUGACAUCCACAGAAGACUGCAGAGAUGCGUUGUGCCUUUCGGGACUGUGAGACAGUGCUGCAUGCUGUCGUCAGCUCGUGUUGUGAAAUGUGGGUAGUCCCGCACGAGCGCAUCCUGUCUUGCUGCCAGGCGCGUGAAGGCGGUAACUCAUGGAGACCUGGCUGGUGAAUAAACCGGGAGGUAAGGGGUGGGGG